AACGAACGCUGGCGGCAGGCCUAACACAUGCAAGUCGAACGUGAAGCCACCUUCGGGUGGUGGAAAGUGGCAGACGGGUGAGUAACGCGUGGGAACGUGCCUUUCGGUUCGGAAUAACCCAGGGAAACUUGGGCUAAUACCGGAUACGCCCUUCGGGGGAAAGAUUUAUCGCCGAAAGAUCGGCCCGGGUCGGAUUAGCUAGUUGGUAGGGUAAUGGGCUACCAAGGCGACGAUCCGUAGCUGGUCUGAGAGGAGGACCAGCCACCCUGGGACUGAGACACGGCCCAGACUCCUACGGGAGGCAGCAGUGGGGAAUAUUGGACAAUGGGCGAAAGCCUGAUCCAGCCAUGCCGCGUGGGUGAAGAAGGCCCUAGGGUUGUAAACCCCUUUCAGCGGGGAAGAUAAUGACGGUACCCGCAGAAGAAGCCCCGGCUAACUCCGUGCCAGCAGCCGCCGUAAGAC
rnacentral:rRNA from 1 species